CCAUUUUUCCUGCUUCUAACGCAUCAACUUUGAGGACAAAAUGUUCACUUGCUGCCUUAUAUAUCCUACCCACUAACAGGUGCCAUGGUGAAGAAAUAAUCAGUUUAUUUACUGUACCUCUAAUUAUUUAAUUCCUGUAAAUAAAGAACCACAUAUCAACAA